rnacentral:lncRNA from 1 species
UGCUGGCAACUGGGGCGAUGGUGUCCGUUUUGAAUAGUUCAGAAGAUGCCGUAUAGCUAUUUUCAACAAAGUAGACCAUUUAUGGCACCACAUUGGCGCGCGUAGAGCGGGCCGAGGCAAGAAGCAGGACGCGGGCUUUCGGCACGAGGACUGACCUGGCCGGAAAUUCGGUGCAGCAUUCUAUCGGAGCCUUUGCAAAUCGGUCAGCAGGUUGCGGCAAAUGGCGAGCGUGUCUGCACCGUUCUCCGACUUUCGUUCACGUCCGCGGGCCUUUCAACUGCUGCGAGCAAGGUUGCGACGCGUGUGUUCACAGGCUGUGUGGCCCGCGUGAAAUGACAGUGUCCAUGUACAUAUUGUUACGCGGCGAGCUCGCAUCAGCUAUGCGGCGUCAUCCAUCCACGGACUGUGACCUUCCUCUGCCCGCCGGCCCCUGGUUUUUGGGAUUGGGGAAAACUACCCCCUCUGUACCCUGCCCACCAGACCCCCCUCCACUCGCAACACUCGCAGCAUCCGGCCCGUACCGCUGCAACCCGCGCUGCCCCCCUGACACCGUGGCCUGCCACAGGCCGGCAAGUUCUUCCGUGACGACUACGUGGGCGCGGUGUCGGGCUGCACCGCCGAGGACGCCCACGAGGCAGCCCUGGAGGCAGACAUGGCGGCGGCCCGGGCGCGCAGCUUCGAGGUGCGUCAAUGCGCAGCGGGGGGCUAGCUGCUGGGGCUGCUGCGGGGGCUGCUGCCGGCGGGGCCAUCGGGGUAAGGGUGGUGAAGCAGAUGAUAGGGCCGCGUGGGGCUGGGCAGGGGCAGGGGCAGGGGGCUGGGCAGGGGCAGCGGUGUUUGCCGAAUGACAAUGGCACGGAAGCGACAUGGGUACGGCAAGUCGCCGGGUGGAUGGCGCAGACGCGUUAACUUCCGCUGUGCUCACGCCCACGUCUUAACCACACCGCGGCACAACACCGCGCUGGGGCCCCGGCCGCAACCUCAGCCGGCACAGCGGUACCAAUGCGCCAUGGCGCGCUCCCCACCUCCGCCGCCAUCUCCACCUCCCUGCCAUCUUCACGUCCGGGCCCGCCGAGCAGCAGAGGUGCAUUAGCGAAGGAACCUCGUUAGCAUGGUCCGUCGGGGCAUGCGCCGUGCAGCAUGGAUAUCUGAGGGCACGUGACACCCAUGCAGGUUUUCGCGCAGCCCGGUCACAAUUGCUGUCCUUCCCACGGCCAGUACAUUGUGCCCCUGUGAGAAAGUGCGGAACGCAAGGUAGUGCAGAGCAUCGGAGCGCAUGCAUUGCGCAGCUGCGGAUACGGUUGCGGUUGCAGUUACAACUGCGGAUGCGGCGGCACCAGCGCCAUUGCUCCGAGCGGUGACAUGUGUGCAGCUCCGUCCUCAAAGUCCAUGUUCUGUGUGUGUACCGGACGCAGGAAGUGCCUCGUGUGCUCGACACGGGGGCGGGCGUUGCACCAACUGAUGCCGCACGGCGUGACGCGGCAGCUGGCCGGCAAUGAUGAGCCGCUCGCGUCCGCCGCCGCCGCCGCCAACAGCGCCGCCGCGGCCGCCUCUGCAACCGACUCAGCCUCUGAUGACCCGACUCUGCGGUGGCGAUGCCAAGUGGUGGCGGCGGCGGCGGCGGCGGCCGCGGCGCGGGGCGGGGCGUGCCGGCAGAGGUAGCAGAGGAGGAGCUGCGAUAUGGUAUGGGCGCGGGCGGCGGAAUGGACGCGGGCGUGAACCCGUGCCUCAUGUGGCCGGGCGCGUGCUCCCUCAUGCCCUUCACGAACAUCCAGGUACGGUACCUGGGGGCGGCUGGGGUGGUGGGUGCAAGGUUAAAAACAUUGGGAACAGGAUACCGGGGCGGGGAGGCUGGGCAUGGGUGGGCAGACAGGCGCUUGAACAAGCCCUGUCACCUGGCCAUGCCGUCGCGUGUGUUAAGGUCCAUUGACGCCGUGGGCAUAGCGGCGAUGGCGCGGGUCCCCUUGGCCGCACGCUGCAGGGCAUGUCACUCGUUUCCACCAUGCGCUUGACCACCUGUGCUGUUGCACGCGAGUAAACAAUCCGCUGAAAGGGCGCUGUCUGCUUGAUCUGCUUAGUGUGCUUAGUCUGCUUUAUGCGCUGCUUGGAUUGCUGUGUGUUGCAGGCGGUGGCCGCGGACCCAUGGUGUCGGCGCGCGUGGAUGCGGGCAGGGUAGGCAAGGCAACGCAUGCGAUAUCCGUAACGGCAGGAAGGUCUGGUACUGGUGUGGCGGCACUGCUGAUGACAACCAUUCCAUGCGACAGUUUGUUGAGUUGGUUCAGUGAUAACAGUAAUUGUCUAUUGAUACUGUCACAAAAUACGUGGUAUCAUACAAUGGUCCGGGGCAUACAGCGCUGGUGGUCAAAGGGAAGCAAGAUGAUGACAAGGAGCGUCCUGCCGUGCAGGUUGGAGGUGUUGACUUGAUUUGAGCAUCUUGCGUAGCGUGCACAAGUUGCGGCGGAUAGGGGCUAUAGUGUUAACUGUAGCAUGCUAGCUGAGUGGCUGCGCAAAAGAACAAGGCCAGAGGCGGGUAAGGAGGCCAGCCAGGACAGUGGAGGAGCCAGGACAGCGCGAGUGUUGCCUUGCUUCGGCAUCGUCUUCUUAAAGUUGUUUUACUGAAUGGCAGGAAGAUUGGUUGUCUGCACCACUGUAGUAGUCUGAUGUUGAUGCCUAGGUGCUUGAGGAGGUGCUGCUGGCCAAAGCGGGGGACGGAAUGGGGCGACAGGUUCCGCCUCCGAGCAUGCCCACCAUGUGUUACCGGUGACCGGUCGCCCACUCGCCCUUCAAUCUUAGAGCUCAUACUCGGCAAGGCUUACCAAUGAUGGUUUCACAUGUCACAUUGAUAAGGGCUCGCGAGCUCGGUGAACUCACUUUCAACCUCCGUGCAUAGCCUCGAUUGUAGCAUGCACAUACAGUAAACGUCAGUUACCUAAAGAAUAUCGAGGCACGGUCACAUUACUAUCUAGACUCCGAGGCUAAAGUGUCGCCGCGCAGCACGCCGAUGGAAGAGUCGCCUGCCGCAUCCCUGAGCGAUGUGCUCAAUUGGCGGUCGCUGCGAUGGAACGACGGCUGUACGUAAGUAUAUGGUCGUAAGCAACGGCGGAACAGCCCGUAGCUGAUAGCGCGGGCCAGGCCUUUUAUACUCAACGACUCCUCCGUCGCGCCGCCCACCCCGCCCCCCGCGCAACCUGGCACACACCUGCACUCCAUGCCCACCUUCAUUUGUGCACACUGCUCCCGCACACCUGCAGCUAUGACGGCCUUGAGGCGCGCGGCGCCUGCGAGUCUCACGGCGUGGUGACGUGGCCGGGCCGGAGGGAGCGCUACGAGGGACAGCUGGUCGGCAGCCGGCCGCACGGCCACGGCGCCUACCGCUGGCGGGACGGCACGUGAGUGACAUACGUUAGGUAUAGCUGGGUGGCUUUCUUAUAGCGGGGGGCUUGGAAGGGACAGUGCGUCAAGGGCAAACAGGGGUUACGUGGCGUAGAGGGGUUACUGCGGGGCUGCAGGACUGGCGGCGGCAUGGCGGCAUGGCGGGUUGGCGAAUGCUGGUUGCCUUUACGCGUGCCUAGCCCGCCACCUGGGGGCUGCCUGCUUGAUGUCUCGCUCCCCUGACGUACCGUAUCUGCCAGGCCGCUUAUUGCCCUCCCCUGUAUGACAUCUACUCCACGCAUCUACCCCUCGACACCCGCCUCGCUGAGUCACCGGCGACUACCGCCACCCCACGACCCGCUCACCGCUCCAGGCUGUAUCGCGGCGAGUGGUACGCGGGCCACAUGCACGGCUGCGGCGUGCUCAUCUGGCGGGAUGCACAGGGCGAGGUGCAGGCGCAGGUGGGCUUGAGUGAUUGCUUGGGCGUGCGUUUGCGUGUGUAGCGUACUCGGCUAUGUCUGUGUGUUAAAGAGCACAAGGACACAUGUCUGUGUGUGUUCGCGUGGUGUCGCACAUGCACACGGCCGUGUGGCCGUAUGUAUGGCUAGCGUAAGAGUGCGGCCGUGUUCAUAGGCCAGAUGCAUCUUACAUUGCACGGCUUGUACCGUGGCAGCAUCCAAACCAGCGGGCUUGAGUACACAGCGGCAUUCGGGGUUGCGUCCCACUUCACAUUUCUUGUGCCUUGCAGUGCCUUGUGGCAUGACUGCCUGAGCUAUCAAAGCAAAGGACAGACCAUUCAACGCCCAAAGGCCUAGUUGAGUGGGCCAGCGGACUGCAGACCCCCUCCGCUAUCCAACCGACACAACAAAGCCACAGUCCUACCGCUUGCCGCGAACAGACCCAAAUUACCAUUAUGCCGGUAGUCCUAGCGCCCGCCCUAUAGCGCUGCACAAGUUACGUGACGCCAUCGAACAUUUGUGCGAAAUGCCUAGGCUGCCUGCGUAAACGCUCAACACAACGCCACGACGCCACACCCUCCCCAGAAGAAAGCCCCCGCCCACGCAGCCUUCUCUGCGACGUGCCCCACAGCCCUACCUACGGCCACCUCUUCUGCCUGUCCUCGAAGGGCUGGGGCCCGUCAACCAUGCAGACCAGGAUCCCAAUCAUGUUGCUGACGGCGUUGCAGGCUUGCAUGGCAGGCCCAAACAACAAAAGACCCAGCGCGUUCGCGGACCCAGCGGAGUGGGGCAGGCCCGCCGCUGCACUGAUGUACCAGGUCAUCCCGGCCCACAGCACGAAGAGGAAGAACUCCGUGCCCUGCAUGCGAUGGUCCAUGUCACGAGGGGGGGGGUCCGGGCAAUGCCAGGCAGGCAGGCAGGGGUUGGCACGAUUGCAGCUCUGCGUGGGUCGCGGUGGGUCACGUGUAGCAGGGGGUUGCAAGAGUCCAUGCCAGGGUGCUGCGAAGCACGCGGCUGGGUAAAGACGGCGGCGGCACAUGCCAUGACCAUGGCACAUGCCCCACUACUCACCAGCUGGCUUCGGAGUACAGACAGGGUCUUGGCUCGCUUCGCCUCCUCCUGGGCAGCCGCCUCCUGCGCCUCAGCAGCCUGCGGCUGGGGCACACGCAUGCCCUGCUGCUCGUGCGCGCCGGCGCGGGCUGUAGUGCUGCGCGCGAAAGCGGGGCGCGGCGCCGCCGCCGCCACGGGCACGGCAGCGAGGCAGCCGCCGGCACGACGUGGGUAGGGGGCCUGCAUGUGCACAAGCGCAAACAAGGCACCAAAGCUUAGGUCGACGAUGUGGUCAGUGGCAGGGACACGGGCGGGGGGCGUUGGCGUCCGUUUUGAGGAGUCGGGCGAUGCCGUAUAGCUAUUUUGGACAAAGUAGACCAUUUAUGGCACCACACUGGCGCGCGUAGAGCGGGCCGAGGCAAGAAGCAGGACGCGGGCUUUCGGCACGAGGACUGACCUGGCCGGAAAUUCGGUGCAGCAUUCUAUCGGAGCCUUUGCAAAUCGGUCAGCAGGUUGCGGCAGAUGGCGAGCGUGGCUGCACCGUUCUCCGACAUGCGUUCACGUCCGCAAGCCGUUCGUCCGAUCUUUCGGCCUUUCAAAUGUUGCGAGGCGUGUGUUCACAGGCUGUGUGGCCUGCGUGAAAUGACAGUGUCCAUGUACAUAUUGUUACGCCGCGAGCUCGCAUCAGCUAUGCGGCGUCAUACACGCACUGUGACCUUCCUCUACCCCCCGGCCCCUGGUUCUGGGUCUUGGAAUUGGGGACAACUACCCCCUCUGUACCCUGCCCACCAGACCCCCCUCCACUCGCAACACUCACAACAUCCGGCCCGUACGGCUGU